CCCUCAGAUGUUCUGGGCCGCACGCGCGCUACACUGACGAUGGCAACGAGUUUUUCCUUCGCCGAAAGGUGUGGGUAAUCUUUUGAAACAUCGUCGUGCUGGGGAUAGAUCAUUGCAAUUUUUGAUCUUGAACGAGGAAUUCCUAGUAAGCGCGAGUCAUCAGCUCGCGUUGAUUACGUCCCUGCCCUUUGUACACACCGCCCGUCGCUACUACCGAUUGAAUGGUUUAGUGAGGACUCCUGAUUGGCGCCGCCGCCCCGGCAACGGAGCAGCGGACUGCCGAAAAGUUGUUCAAACUUGAUCAUUUAGAGGAAGUAAAAGUCGUAACA
rnacentral:rRNA from 1 species